rnacentral:rRNA from 1 species
AUUGAACGCUGGCGGCAUGCCUUACACAUGCAAGUCGAACGGUAACAGGUCUUCGGAUGCUGACGAGUGGCGAACGGGUGAGUAAUACAUCGGAACGUGCCCGAUCGUGGGGGAUAACGAAGCGAAAGCUUUGCUAAUACCGCAUAAGAUCUACGGAUGAAAGCAGGGGACCGCAAGGCCUUGCGCGAACGGAGCGGCCGAUGGCAGAUUAGGUAGUUGGUGGGAUAAAAGCUUACCAAGCCGACGAUCUGUAGCUGGUCUGAGAGGACGACCAGCCAAACUGGGACUGAGACACGGCCCAGACUCCGACGGGAGGCAGCAGUGGGGAAUUUUGGACAAUGGGCGAAAGCCUGAUCCAGCCAUGCCGCGUGCAGGAUGAAGGCCUUCGGGUUGUAAACUGCUUUUGUACGGAACGAAAAGACUCUUUCUAAUAAGAGGGUCCAUGACGGUACCGUAAGAAUAAGCACCGGCUAACUACGUGCCAGCCGCCGCCGUAA